GCCCUCAUAGCUCAAGAAGAUAGAGCGACGGACUCCUAAGCCGAGGAUCUCUGUGCAACUCAGAGUGAGGGCA
rnacentral:tRNA from 1 species